GACGAACGCUGGCGGCGUGCUUAACACAUGCAAGUCGAACGAGACGAUUUAGAAGCUUGCUUUUAUUGAGUCGAGUGGCAAACGGGUGAGUAACGCGUAGACAACCUGCCGCAAAGAUGGGGACAACAGUUGGAAACGACUGCUAAUACCGCAUGACACAUAGGUGUCGCAUGGCACUUAUGUCAAAGGAUUUAUCGCUGAAAGAUGGCCUCGCGUCUGAUUAGCUAGUUGGUGAGGUAACGGCCGACCAAGCCGACGAUCAGUAGCCGGUCUGAGAGGAUGAACGGCCACACUGGAACUGAGACACGGUCCAGACUCCUACGGAGGCAGCAGUGGGGAANCUUCCGCAAUGGGCGAAAGCCUGACGGAGCAACGCCGCGUGAGUGAUGACGGCCUCGGUGUAAGACGUCUGU
rnacentral:rRNA from 1 species